rnacentral:lncRNA from 1 species
ACUAAACGAACAUGAAAUGAAAGGUCGAUAGUGAAAGAUGAACAAAAAGUCACAACUCAAAGGCUAAUUCAUGCUUUGCCAAUGUUACUCAAUGUUAUUAUAGUAAAAACUGAAAAUGAAAGGUCGAUAGUGAAAGAUGAACAAAAAGUCACAACUCAAAGGCUAAUUCAUGCUUUGCCAAUGUUACUCAAUGUUAUUAUAGUAAAAACUGAAAAAGAAUGCCCUUUUGAGCACCUUUAUCACAUACCUAGACCCAGAAGAGAGCAGAGCCUCGACUCAUGUUUUCACUAAAAGCUUGGAUUCCAAUGCGGAAAAAGUGCUGUGCUAGUGAAUCGAUAAGUCUUUUACAGUAUUAUUGAAGUGAACUUUUAGCAAGAGCUGAGGACUACAACAGGGUCAUCCCCUUCUAGACACUAAUCACCCCGAUUGAUAUUUGGUACUUGGUAUUUAACUUUGCAAGGAACUUUCUACACUUUGUGGGACUAAGCUAGCAUUUAGCUCCAUCUAUCAUCCUCAAUCAGGACGGCUAAACAGAGAUUGUUAAUCGCAUAGUUGGAGUGUACCUCCAUUGUUUUACAGAUGACGACCCAACAUGGGUGGGUUCUAUGGUUUUCUUGGGGUUAGUAUGCUUAUAAUAUUGGUUAUCACUCUUCUUUAAAGGCACUCUUUCGAGGUUGUGUAUGGGAGACUGGUAUCAAGACUACUCUCUUAUUGUCCGGGCCUUUCAACUUGGAAGCAGUUGAUUGUGAACUUAAG